rnacentral:lncRNA from 1 species
ACUCGCAAUAGUUCCCAUGGUUUCCUUUGCUCCCAGCGGUUGCGCGGGCUGGGUUUUUGGAGCAAAGGCAACGGAUACUGCUGAGGCUCCUGAGAAUGUCCCGUUUUCGAGGCUGCAGUAGCUCCGGUGUCCGGUUCUGCAGUGCCGAGAGGGAGGCCUCGGGCUCCGGGCGGGGGAAUGUGUUGCAGUUUGUCCAAGAGCCCCAAGCCCAGCAAAGCCGCCCGUUCCCCGCUGGGGCGCAACUCUCACUGGAACUCUUGUUCUCUGACUGGGGAAUGGAAUGGGCUCAGCCAAGGCUCCCGAAACCAGCCCUGCCGCUCCCAGUUGUGGUCGCAUUCUCAAGAGCGGCUGACUGCGCCGUGGACCAUCACUUUCGCUUCUGCCUGCUCUUGCGCCUAUUGCGGCAACUACUCACGCUCCUACGGGACGAGGAGAGGGAGGUGAAUCCGUGGCAGAGGUGAGUGAGAUCAUGGCUGCACCUUCGCUCUAAGGAGCCCACUUGCCUUCAGCGAGUCCGCUUCAUCUUUCAGCCCGCUUCUGACCAUUUGCAUUUCGCUCCUUCUACCUUCACCGCGCCCAUUUUCAUCCUUUUCUGCAAUCUAUCCACGACAGCUCCUUGUUCGCCCCUCUCCUCUCUCACAUUCUCACUCAUCCUUGGGCCCCUUUGUAGGGUGCCCCGGUCUCCCUCCACCCUCUUUCGCCUCUGAUCUCGGAGCAGACACGGCUAAGGGUCACAGACCUACGUAUAGCAUUUAUUUGUUUUGUGUUAUCGUUCGUGAACAUAUUUUUAUUCUCCACUAGACUGAGCUCGUGGAAAGGAGGACCCCUAUUUUAUUCAUUACAGAAUUUGCAGUGCCUGGCACUUAAUAGGGGCUCAAUCUACUGAAAGUGUUGUGUGUUGAGUGAAUGAUCGGUUUGAGAUCCUAACAGGCUAACUAAGUGGAAAUUCCUUGUAGGGAGUUGGAAAGGGUUGAGAUUAAGGGUUUAAAUUGGAAAGGAGAAAUACCUUCCUCUGAGACAAGAUAACUGGAUGAAUGUAGGCAAAGUGAUGUGCUAAACUGCAGAUGUGGCUACCUUCAGGAAGGUCUUAAGUGGUCUCAAUCUUGACCUUGAAGAAUGAGAGGAGAGUGAGAUGAGUUUUCCUCUAAUGAGAGUGAAUAUUGGAGUGGGAAGUAGAUGGUUUGAGAAGGAAAAUAAUUAUAAUUAUUGCUGUGUAAGUACUCAUAUCAAAUGUUUAUUGAAUGUGUCAGGUACUAUACUGAGUGCCUUACAUGCACUACGGUUAAAAAAUGAGAAAUUUUAAAACAUUACAGGUAUUGAGGGGUAGGUUGAAAUUCCAACAGGUGGGAGAUGUCUUGAUGAGUCUUUUUCUUCCACUAGUGGGAUGUAAUAAAGCAUAGUGAUGAGAAGGACAGCCUCUGGAUUGAGACUUUCUGAGUUUGAAGCCUUGCUUUGCUACUUAAUACCUAUGUGACCUUGGUAACCUCUCCAAGCUUCAUUAUUUUUUCACCUGUAAAAGGGGGAUACAAAUAGUACUGACGUUUUUAGGGUUAUUGUAAUGAUGUAGUGCCUUGAACGUAAUAAGCAUUUCACAGGUGUUGGUUAUUAGAGUUUCAUGCCUGGGAGCAGAGGAAGUAAAAACAGUCCUGAGUUAGGUUACAGAUACACAUUUUUUGCCCAUGUGGGAGAGGUGAGUGAAACUACUGCACCUGUCCUCUGAGGAGCGCUCCUGCCUUUGGGAUGGAAAGGUCCUCCCAGUUUGUGUCAAUCAAAAAACUUCUUAUUUUAGAAUCCUAACCAAAACAUAUAAGAACAACUUGGGUAAAAUUUGCAUUUGUGCACAUAGAAGAUAAAUAAUUUAUCUUAAGGCACAGAUAAAACCAGGUAGCAGCAGGGAGUGUUAUAAUUGUCUGCUAUUCACCAUGUUGAUGAGGGAAGGAUUCCCACCCUUUGUGUUAUGGAGUAGCUGAACACAGGACAGAUGAGAUCAACAGCAGUUUAUUAAUCACAUAUGUUCACAGCUGGAAUGGGAGAGAACACAGCGUGCCACGAAGGGCCACACCGAGGUUGCUGUUGGUAAGACAGUGAAUAAUCAGGGGCUGUGGGAGGUAGACUUUGUGGUAUCAAGAAAUUGAGGUAAUACCUGCUUUCCCUUGGAAGGAUAUGAUUGGCUUGUUUGAAUAAUUCCACAAGCUGACAAUGUACUAAAAUCUGCUACCCAGAGAUAAGCUGGAACUGCGUCUGGUCUCUUUGAGAAGGAGGGUCAUUUGGCUAGGGGACCUUAUUUGCAGGAGCAGAAUGGAGAGGAGAAUUCGCAGUAAGGCCAUUGGGAGCCCUCCUGGUUUCCCCAAUUGUCAAGGUAGUACACAAUAUUGGGCCUUAAUUUUGUGCCUCACACCACAAAGACUGUGUGUCUUUAUAGUCUGGCAGGCAUCCUUGGUCCCUAUACUCAUAUUCCAAGAACUGUUAGACGUAUGUUUACUUUUUGAUUACCUGCUCUUGAAAUGGGAAACCCUCUGAGACUAACUCUGUAUACUUAUAAUACCUUUUCCCUGAAUAAAGAAGUAAAAAAUAUUUAUUCAAACAAUGAAAUCAAACAUUUAUUUUAUAAGGAUUUUUAUAGACGUAAGCAGCUAAACUUUGAGGAAAUUGAACCUCUCUUAGUUUAUUUUUUUCAGCUUAUGAGUAACAGCAAAAAUUAAAACAAUAAAUGACAAACAUUAUAAUACAAUAAAAAAUUAGUGUCCUCCAAAGAACAGAUAGGUAAGGUACUCUUUUUUAAAAAGGAACUAAAGGGAGUCUAACAUACCUAAGAAUUAAAACAUGUUGCUAGUGCAUUUUAGCAUGCUAAUUGUUUUCUUUAAAUUGUAUUCAUGGGGUGCUAAUUUCCUAUUAAUAGAGGAGUUCAGUGUUAAAACAGAUAAUACAUUUAUAUUUUGAUUUUUUUCUUCAACCCAGGAGCAGAUUGCAUUCCAGACAAUAGUAUUACACAGCGAUUUUUAAAAAAUGCAGAUGCCAGUGUAGUUCGGUUUAGUUAAUUUUCCUGUAUCCAAUACUAUGUGAAAUAUUAGUACUUUUUUUUUUUUGCUUAUUUCUUUUCUCUUUGGUGUUGCUCAUAAGUUUCUUCUUCCCUCUCCUCUAUUUCUGUGUUUAGGUUGAGUUGAGGCAAUGUGUUUCACAGGUAAACCUGUAAUUUGUGACAAGGUGAUAAAACAUUAUUAUCUGAAGUGUAUUCUUAUAGAUACCCUUGGUAAAUGCUUAAAGGACCUGAACUCAUAGAAUUAGAGUCAGAAGGAACCCUAAAAAUAAUUUUCUAGGCAAUACCUAAAUUAUUGCAGAUGUGAUCUUCAAAGGGAAAGAUUAUAUAAUAUAGAAAGUCCCUUUCUAAAGUAUUGUAGAACUUUAUUUAUUGAUUUAUUUGCUUUCUUUCUCUUUCUUUCUGAUGCGGGGUCUCACUCUGUCACCCAGGCUAGAGUGCAGUGGCACGAUCAUGGCUCACUGCAGCCUUGACCUUCCCAGCUCAAGUGAUCCUCCUGCCCCAGCCUCUCGAGUAGCUGGGAAUACAGGUGCACACCACUACACCCAGCUAAUUUUUAAAUUUUUUGUGCAGAAGGGUCUCACUAUGUUGCCCAGGCUGGUCUUGAAUUCCUGGGCUCAAGCUGUUCUUGUGCUUUGGCCUCCCAAAGUGCUGAGAUUAUAAGUAUGAGCCACCACGCCAAGCCUACUGUAGAACUUUAAUAAUACUUAUUUUAAGAAUUCUCUGCAACAAAACAAAUACACACACACACACACACACACACACACACACACACACACAAUUUUUUACCGUGACAUAGCCUCAGGUCCUGAGAACAUGUGUCCCCCAAAUCUCUUUAGAUUGUAGCUUCUUAGGAUCUUCUUGCUCUGAGGAGACAGAACAGUUGCUGCUCUACCAUUUGUUUUUUACAUGCUUAGAAUAAAAUUAUGAUAUCUUCUUCAGACUUUUUAUAUACAGUUUCUUUCAUCUUUCCUUCUGAUUCUGUUUUCUCUAUUUUUAGCCUGUGAUUUCUUCUGAAAAUAUAAAUCCUCCAUGCUGCUUUCAGUUUGAGUAGUGCUUUGUAAUCUGUAAAGCAUUGUGCAAAUGUAAGUUAUUUUAUUAUUAUGAAGGUGGCAGACCCUUGAACUGUAUUUAUUUAUUUUUUAUUUUAUUUUAUUUUUAGGCAGUCUUGCUCUGUCACCCAGGCUGGAGUGCAAUGGCAUGAUCAUGGCUCACUGCAGCCUUGACAUCCCAGGCUCAAGUGAUCCUCCCAUCUCAGCCUCCUGAGUAACUGGGACUACAAGAAAGCACCACCAUACCUGGCUAAUGUUUUAAAUUUUUUGUAUAGAUGGGGUCUUGCUAUUUUGCCUAGGCUGGUCUUGAACUCUGGGGCUCAAGUGAUCCUCCCACCUUGGCUUCCCAAAGUGCCGGGAUUACAGACAUGAACUGUAUUCUUAUGAAAGAAGUCCAAUGCUUGUUUUUAAUGGUUCUUGGACAAUUGUCAUUGUUGCUGAAAAGUUUUAAGUCUGUGUUUUUAUACUCUAUGGUCCAUAUUUCAUCACUUUUCUAAUUCUUAUAACCAUUUUCUUUAAAUUCAGCUCUGCUGAACAUAUUGAAGUAAAGAAUGAAGAGCCAAAGAAAUGCACUACUUCAGUUUCUACAUCAGAAAGUAUUUUUAAGAUACAGACCUUUCUUGAGAAGUUAGAAAAAGUUUAUAAAUAGUUAAACAUUAGACUUUACUUUUAUUCAAAUUGCCUAUCAUCUAUUCCUUUUCAGUAUUUCAAAUGCAAUAAAAUUGAUAAUCAGAAAUACUUUUUUAGAAGUUACUUUUUUAUUUAUAUUUUUACAGAAAAAUAGUAGUCUAGUCAUUCAAGUGAAAGGUCCAAGAAAGGAAGAAAGAAAAAUUUAUCAAAAAGAAAACA